AGUGGCGGACGGGUGAGUAAUGCUUGGGAAUCUACCCAGUAGUGGGGGACAACACGGGGAAACUCGUGCUAAUACCGCAUACGUCCUACGGGAGAAAGUGGGGGAUCUUCGGACCUCACGCUAUUGGAUGAGCCCAAGUCGGAUUAGCUUGUUGGUGGGGUAACGGCCUACCAAGGCGACGAUCCGUAGCUGGUCUGAGAGGACGAUCAGCCACACUGGGACUGAGACACGGCCCAGACUCCUACGGGAGGCAGCAGUGGGGAAUAUUGGACAAUGGGGGCAACCCUGAUCCAGCAAUGCCGCGUGUGUGAAGAAGGCCUGCGGGUUGUAAAGCACUUUCAGUAGAGAAGAAAUGCCUGGGGUUAAUAACUCCGGGUCUUGACGUAACCUACAGAAGAAGCACCGGCUAACUCCGUGCCAGCAGCCGCGGUAAUACGGAGGGUGCGAGCGU
rnacentral:rRNA from 1 species